CUCUUUUCCCGCGGCGCCGUCAGGCUCCGUAGGCGGCGUCUCUUCCCCUCCGGUUUGGGAUGAAUUUUUUCCCUUUUCCCCAAGAGACAGUGACUGCCUUGGGGGACUCAUCGAUCCCAAGCUUCUCCACUUUCUUCCAUAUUGGCCGUUCCCUGGCGGGGUUAACCUUCCUCCCCGCCCCCCGCGUGCUUCAGGGCUGGCUGGCAGGUUCCCGCCGCGCUGAGUCUAGGGCACAGGGUCAUGGAAGGCGGGAAACCAGGAAACUCCACUCUACUUCACAGUCCUGCCAGCUGCCACACAGUGCGAGGCAAAAACGGAGGAACACUGAAGAAAUGGAAGUCAGGAGGACUUCCAGGAAUCGCGCACUUCGCCCUUAAACAUUGGUGGGCACUAGAAUGAGCUUUUCUUGCCCCAGCCCCUCAGCUGAAUCUCUAAGGAGAAUGCUCUAGAGGGCUGUUCGCCUAUGCUGAUUCGCUGAACUGAACAGGGAGCAGAAACCCCAGGGCACACUCCACUUAAGACCUGAUGCUGGAACGGCCAAAGGACCCAAGCCCUUUGGAGCCUCCAUUUAUCGACUAUCAAAGGAGGAUGCCUAUCAAAGGAGGAUGCGUUGCGAAGCACGAAUGGGAGGGAGUGUGAACUCUGUUAGCUGAUGCACUCAACCAACCUCUACCGCUCCCACCCCUGGGCUUGGUGCUGGGACAGCGAUGACGGGGAGAGGGUCUUGCCUCACAGGACUACAACAGCCAAAGGGCUGUGGGUACAAGGGGGACAGGGCAGGUGUUCCGCCUCUUGGGGGAGGCCUUGAAGGGGAAGGUGGAGCCCUGAAGCAUGAGUGCAGAAGUAGCAAUCAUUCAAUAAAUACAUGCUGAUUUA